rnacentral:rRNA from 1 species
UACGUAGGGUGCAAGCGUUGUCCGGAAUUAUUGGGCGUAAAGAGCUCGUAGGCGGUUUGUCGCGUCUGCUGUGAAAACUCGGGGCUUAACCCCGGGCCUGCAGUGGGUACGGGCAGACUAGAGUGCGGUAGGGGAGACUGGAAUUCCUGGUGUAGGCGGUGAAAUGCGCAGAUAUCAGGAGGAACACCGGUGGCGGAAGGCGGGUCUCUGGGCCGAUACUGACGCUGAGGAGCGAAAGCGUGGGGAGCGAACAGG